rnacentral:ribozyme from 14 species
UACACGGAAUAAAGGAACAAAAAAAGAACAAAAAACCAGACGGGACUUCUUGCCAAACGGUUUUUUUUUUCCCAGUUUUUUCCCCGUUUUUU